rnacentral:tRNA from 1 species
GGGCCCUUAGCUCAUUUGGUAGAGCGCCUCAUUUGCAAUGAGGAGGUGACCAGUUCGAAUCUGGUGCGGUUCACCA